ensembl:lncRNA
CACCUUAUAAAAUCCAACAUAGCCUAUAGCUGCACUAAAGACAACCAGUUUAAUUGUGGGAACACAGGUGUUGAGCUUCGGGACAACUGAGGAACUCUCGGGCUGAAGAUAAUGCCCUCUCCAACUCAGCACUUAAGCAUUAGGUAAGCAUUAUGUAGUUCUUGCUUUGACAAUGCAUUUAUCUAUUAAAGUUAAGGCUGGGCAGGUUGAUGUGUUAAUAUUGCAUAAAUUAAUUAACAAAGAAAAUGUUGUUGCUUAUUGCUUAUUAUAAUGUUGUUUUCUUCUAUAGCGUCUUGAUAAAGCAUUGGUUUUAUAUUUGAUUACAUACAUGUUUAUGUUAAGAUUUAGAUUUAACUACUGUGUAAAGGGAAUAUGGCUUUUAAAAAGCUUAUUAAGUGUCAGGACAAUGAAGAAUUGCGCAACACACUACUUUUUAAUUAAAUAAUUUUGCUCAUUACAAUGGAAUUAAUCGCAGUUUGAAUGUGUUGAGGAAACAAGGUGGAAGGUGAAAAUAUGAGAUGGAGUAUGGGAAUAUUGCAAAUAUUUAAUGUUAAAAAGGAAUAUGAGGGUCGUCGUGGCGCAGGGGUUAGAGAAGGUGUGCUGGGAAGCACAAGGUUGGUGGUUCGAGUCCAGGCUGCCCCAUGUUGAAGUGUCCAUGAGCAAGACACCUAACCCCUAAUUGCUCCCUGGGCAAACAUGUGUAAAAGCCAUGGGUUUAAAGUGUAAUGUAAGUUGCUUUGGAUAAAAGCGUCUGCUAAAUGACAUGUAAUGAAUACCCAAACUGAAGGGUUUGGGUUAUUAAAAGUAAAAAUUGACAGGAAUCCAAGGCUAUGCUGGAAAAGGUUUGCAAUCGUACCAACACUUAGCCUUAGAGUGGCAGUUUGAUGCCGGCCUGGGUGUGUGUGGAGCAGAAGGCUUAACCACCUUGUCCUUGUCACAGCAGGAGGUGCUCAGAGGAUGAGUUUGAGUUUUCUUUUGGGAGGCAGCCGACAGGCUUUUGGGAGCCUGAAGAGUGCACAUGCAAACCAGCCAGAAAACGCUUGGCCGUGGAAGCAGCACCAGCAGUCUCUCCGGGGCUCUGGUUGGCCUGCCCGCUGAUCCAUCCUUCCAUGAAUGAUUCUUUUUCCAACAGGCGCCGCCUCAUGCCCUCACUCCUCUCUUGCCCUCUCAUUCAAAUGCCCGACCACACUUCCGCUCUCUCUCUCUUGAUUGUUCCGGCCCCUUGGUAUAAUCUGUUUCAGUACCACUUGGCAACGCCCUCCAUCAUCUGUGGCUGGGCAAACAUUAGACUGAAUGUAUCCCAUUCCAAAUCAGGGAUUACAUCCUGCUGUUUCAAUAUUUGGGCACUUCUGAGACAACAGGUCAAGUUGGCCAAACAAACCCUGCUCUAUUCCAGGAAAUCGCGACAGAAACCUAAAGAAAGACAGCACCGGGUUUAGAGAAAAGGUCAAGCGCCUCGGAUUGUCCGAGCAGGUUUGUAAAUAAAGGGAAUACCCCCUCCUGUAGUUAAAAGAGUUGAUUGACAAACACUGGACUGUGUACAAGUUAGAAUGCAAAUUUAAACAAUUUUCCUGAAACGUCAUCAGGUUAGUUGAUACCAUUUUAACAGAAUAACUAUUAUUAGCAGCCUCAGGGAAACCACAAGUAUUUGCUGAUUCAGCAUUUUGAUAGCGUUUCACAAUGUUACAAGGGCUGCUGAUGUUUUAAUUUGUAGUUUCCUGCCUCUCGUGUCUCUGGGUUAACUUCACUUCCUGCCACGGUGUUUUCUCCCGUGGGGGAUUGUCUCCCGUGUCCCUCUCUUGUGGGUUUAUUAAGGUUUUUUUAUGUCGAUGUUGUUUUUUUUAAACUGCCUGUCACAAAUGCUGGGGCGUAACAUGUGUUGCGCAAUAGAAGGAAAAACUAAAUUAAACAUCCUUGGAUUUAAAUUAAACCAUUUAUUUUGACAAUAAACCUCCAGGGUUAGCCUGCCUCACAAGGCAGACAGAAUUCCUUAAAGAAUGUUAACCUCCUAUGAUAGUGGAAUUUACUAGAGAAUAAUAUACCUAGAAAGCAGUAUAUUAUCAGGGUAAAUAGCUAAAUAGCGUUGUUUUUAUGUCACCAUUUAUUUUGAUUAUUGUUAAACAGAUCUUUAUUUACAAAUUAUAAAACGUAAUUUUCAGUAAAAAUAAAAGUGAUCUUGUGUUUAUGUUAAAAAGUGGUUAUGGCUGUGAUUUAGGAUACAGCAUAGGACGGUAAGACCAGAAAAACUGAGCAAUCGGAGAAGACAGUUACUGUCACAACUGGGCCCUACUAAAGAGCAGGAAAUGAGAAAGGCAAAAGCCAGUAUAUAACUUUUUCUAAAGUAUUAUGACUUUAGAAAACACAAUGGCUUCCUUUUUGCUCAGAGGCUGGGUGGAGAAUUCUCUAUCAAUACUGAUUCAUCAACAUGGUCUGUUAUCAUGGCUUUCAGAACAAAACAGCUCUCACCUUCUCAAAUCAAAAUCCCCUCUCCCACCUCAAAAAUCAAUAUUUAUAAUUUUACAAGAUCAGGACAAAUCCGUUGCAAUGCUGCCGUUAUUAUCACAAUAGAAGAAUCAUGGAGACAGGUAUUUGCUGAGCUACUACAUGAUUAAAGGUCCUAUUUUUCUCUUUAUCUCUCCCUUCCUUACGUUCUGUUCUUCCCGCUCUCUCUUAAUUCCCACUUUCACCUCCAAGCCAUACAAUAAGCCCCAUUGUAAAAUAAAUUACAUAGGCCAUGCUUCCUUAAUAUCACAGACUGGUUUUAAGUAAUGGCAUGAAUAAAAGGGUUAGGUGUAUGAUGGUGUCUGCACAGUGGGGAGGGGAUGGGAAGGAAAAGGGAAUCAAACACAACAAAGUCAGAUCAUCUUAUCUACUGGACGCUACUUGAUAUGAUUCCAAAUGGAUAUUACAAUAUAUAUUUAUAUGUUCACUGUUGUUGGGCCUGCAUAUUGGGAUUUUUCCUCGAAUUGUUAUUUUAAGAAUUUGUAACGCAUGUACUUAUUACAUUCACCUUUUAUACCCUAUUUGCCUAAUUGGGGUAGUUUCUAUUCACGGCGGUAAGAACAGUUGGGUAACGGAAUUGUGUUAAGAGGGACAAGCGCAAAUAAUUGGGAGAGAAUCCAGUCAUUUUUCAGAAAAAAAAGUUGUAUUCUAUUGAUGUUAGUUAAUUAAAUUCCUCACUUACUACUAACCAAAACAAUGCCCCUAUAUUGUCUUAAAGAAAUGGUAAACUGAAUAAAUAAAAAUGAACUAACUUGAUACUUACUACUUGAUACGACAUCUUUUUUACUUUAAUCAUAGUUUGUAUUAACAUUUUACAUGCAUUGUAGAUGAAUAGUGUAUUAUGAGAAAAAAUGGUGUGUUGUCACUACUUUGCCACAUACGUAUUUCACAACCAGCCCUGAACCAUUAUUUAAAGUUUAAAGUUAUUUGUUUCCUCAACAACUUUACAACUGUAAUUCUUUGUUAUCGGGCUGCUCUUGUAAAUCUCUUAAGCCUCUCCAGUUGAUUCAGAAUGCUGCAGCACGUGUAUUAACAAGAACUAAGAAAAGGGAUCAUAUCACUCCUGUAUUAACUUCUCUGCACUGGCUCCCUGUUAAAUCAAGAAUAGAUUUUAAGGUACUUCUCCUCACCUAAAAGGCACUUGCUGGUGAUGCACCGUUGUAUCUUCAAGAGCUUGUAACACCGUAUUGCCCUACAAGGCAACUGCGCUCCAUAGAUGCUGGGUUACUUGUUGUUCCUAUGGUUUUAAAAAGUAGGCUGGGGGCCAGAGCCUUCAGUUAUCAAGCUCCUCUUUUGUGGAACCAGGUUCCACUUUCAGUCCGGGGGGCAGAUUCGGUCAGCUCUUUUAAAGUAAAACUUAAAACGUUCCUCUUUGAUUCUGCCUAAAGUUAGGGCUGGCUCAGGUUAGCCCGGACCAGCCCUUAGUUAAGCUGCUAUGGGCUUAGACUGCCGGGGGAAUUCUUAGGAGACACCGAGCUCCUCUCUCACGCUCUCAUUCUACCAUAAUUCAAGUUUUAUUAAUGCAAAUGACUAAUUCAGCUUCUUUCCGGGAGUUUUUUUUGUGCUUUCUCCCCUAUCAGGUCUCCGUAGAUCGUGGUUCCUUCGGGACCCUGGUCCUGACACCUACCGUGGCCAUGCUGACGCCUGCUGCUGCCAUUAUCAUCAUCAUUAUAAUUUUAGAUAUUAAUCAUAUUACUGUACUCGUAAACCAACAUUACCCUCUCCUAAAGUCUCUGUGCUCUCCCUCCCCACAGGCCUCUGUAGAUGGUGGUUCUAUCUGAUGGUGGUUGCCCCUGCAGUGGUCCUGCUGUGCGCCUGGCUUACUACUUACAAUUACUUGAAUCAUUUAUGUCAUAGGAAUUGCAUGUAUUAUACAUUGUUCAUUCUGUACACAUGGCAUCCAUUGUAGUCUAUCCAUCUCGGGAGUGGGAUCCCUCCUCUGACGUUCUCUUCUUCCCUUUUUUCCCUCUUGGAAGGGUUUUUUCAUUUUUUGGGGAGUUUUUCCUGUGCCGAUGGUGGUUUUUGGGACAGAGGAUGUUGUAUGUGUACAGACUAUAAAGCCCUCUGAGGCAAAUUUGUAAUUACCGAUUUUGGGCUUUACUAAAUAAAAUAAAAUGAAUUGAAUUGAACUGAAUUGAACACUGCUUACUUAUAUAUGCUCACGUACACAAAACACAAUUACUUUCUUUUUCUUUCUUUACUUCCUUUUCUUUUGUUGUCCAUCACAUGUAUAUUUGUUUUUAUAUUUAAGUUUGUAAAAUAUUUUAAUAUAAGCCUAGUUGGCUCCUGCACAGUGAUAUCAAUUAUUUCCAUACUAUUUGUUUAUUUGUUUUUUCUUUAGUUCUGCAAAUAACUAAAAAAAGUU